rnacentral:rRNA from 1 species
AAAACAUCGCCUUUUGACCAUUAUUAAAGGUAACGCCUGCCCAGUGACUAUUUAGUUUAACGGCCGCGGUACUCUGACCGUGCAAAGGUAGCGUAAUCACUUGUCUUUUAAAUAAAGACUAGUAUGAAUGGCAUCACGAGAACUAAUCUGUCUCCCUCCCCCAAUCAGUGAAACUGAUCUCCCCGUGCAGAAGCGGGGAUAACACCAUAAGACGAGAAGACCCUGUGGAGCUUCAAAUCAAAAAUCAACUGCUCUCCUUUCCCUGUCAUAAGGAAAUAUUUUUGCAAAUGCUGAUUUAGGAUUUUUAGCUGGGGCGGCUAUGGAGAAAAAAAAAUCCUCCACGAAGAACUGUGCCAAGAGCUACCGCUCUAAGCAUUAAUAAACUAACUUUAAUUGACCCUUUUUGAUCAACGGACCAAGUUACCCCAGGGAUAACAGCGCAAUCCACUUUCAGAGUCCAUAUCGACAAGUGGGCUUACGACCUCGAUGUUGGAUCAGGGCACCCAAGUGGUGCAGCCGCUACUAAAGGUUCGUUUGUUCAACGAUUAAAGCCCUACGUGAUCUGAG